AGAUCAGCAGCGUAACAUUAACCAGACAUCAGUCCCAAAUCAAUCUGGAGAAUCUCAACCAGAAAACUCUCCUCUACAGUCUGAUCCUGAUCACAUUUAUGAUGACGUGACUGAAGUGAAGAAGAGACACAAAGAUGAUCCAGAGUCAUUUUGGGAUGUCAUAUAUUCAGAGGUCACUGUUCAGAAAGAGAUAUCUGUGGAUAAAG